rfam:Streptomyces albus strain DSM 41398, complete genome.
CUUGAGCGAGCCGAGCAGCAGCGGCCGGUCCGCGGGCCGGUCCUGCCCGUAGGUCGCGAGCAGGGCUUCCGCCUC